GAUGAACGCUGGCGGCGUGCCUAAUACAUGCAAGUCGAGCGAACGGACGAGAAGCUUGCUUUUCUGAUGUUAGCGGCGGACGGGUGAGUAACACGUGGAUAACCUACCUAUAAGACUGGGGUAACUUCGGGAAACCGGAGCUAAUAUCGGAUAAUAUUUUGAACCGCAUGGUUCAAAAGUGAAAGACGGUCUUGCUGUCACUUAUAGAUGGAUCCGCGCUGCAUUAGCUAGUUGGUAAGGUAACGGCUUACCAAGGCAACGAUGCAUAGCCGACCUGAGAGGGUGAUCGGCCACACUGGAACUGAGACACGGUCCAGACUCCUACGGGAGGCAGCAGUAGGGAAUCUUCCGCAAUGGGCGAAAGCCUGACGGAGCAACGCCGCGUGAGUGAUGAAGGUCUUCGGAUCGUAAAACUCUGUUAUUAGGGAAGAACAUAUGUGUAAGUAACUGUGCACAUCUUGACGGUACCUAAUCAGAAAGCCACGGCUAACUACGUG
rnacentral:rRNA from 1 species